rnacentral:tRNA from 1 species
GGGCGGUUAGCUCAGUUGGUAGAGCACCUCGUUUACACCGAGGGGGUCGGCGGUUCGAGCCCGUCACCGCCCA